rnacentral:rRNA from 1 species
CAUUAUUGAAAUAAACCUGAUGGGUUGUUGCUGGUUCUCUAGGGAGCAUGUGCACGCCUUGUCAUCUUUAUAUCUCCACCUGUGCACCUUUUGUAGACCUUUCCAAAGGUCUAUGUUGCUUCAUUUACUCUAACGUAUGUUAAUAGAAUGUCGUGCCUAUAAAAAUAUAUACAACUUUCAGCAACGGAUCUCUUGGCUCUCGCAUCGAUGAAGAACGCAGCGAAAUGCGAUAAGUAAUGUGAAUUGCAGAAUUCAGUGAAUCAUCGAAUCUUUGAACGCACCUUGCGCUCCUUGGUAUUCCGAGGAGCAUGCCUGUUUGAGUGUCAUUAAUAUAUCAACCAUCUCUUUGUUGAGUGGUUUGGAUGUGGGGGGGUUUUUGCUGGCCUCUUUAAAAGGGUUCAGCUCCUCUGAAAUGCAUUAGCAGAACAACCCUGUUCAUUGGUGUGAUAACUAUCUACGCUAUUGAACGUGAAGGGCAGUUCAGCUUUCUAACUGUCCUUGGACAAUUUAUCAUUAAUGUGACCUCAAAUCAGGUAGGACUACCCGCUGAACUUAAGCAUAUCAAUAA